rnacentral:rRNA from 1 species
UACGGGGGGUGCGAGCGUUAAUCGGAAUAACUGGGCGUAAAGGGCACGCAGGCGGGCUUUUAAGUGAGGUGUGAAAUCCCCGGGCUUAACCUGGGAAUUGCAUUGGAUACUGGGAGUCUAGAGUGCUUUAGGGAGGGGUAGAAUUCCAUGUGUAGCGGUGAAAUGCGUAGAGAUGUGGAGGAAUACCGAAGGCGAAGGCAGCCCCUUGGGAAUGUACUGACGCUCAGGUGCGAAAGCGUGGGGAGCAAACAGG